GACGAACGCUGGCGGCGUGCCUAAUACAUGCAAGUAGGACGCAGUUGCGAACGGGUGAGUCACGCGUAGGUAACUACCUAUUAGAGGGGGAUAACUAUUGGAAACGAUAGCUAAUACCGCAUACUAGUAGAGGGACCUGCGUUGUAUUAGCUAGUAGGUAGGGUAAUGGCCUACCUAGGCACCGAUACAUCGCCGACCAGGGAGGGUGAUCGGCCAAAAUGGGAAUUGGAAAACGGCCAGAACCCUAAGGGAGGGAGCAGUAGGGAAAUGUCGGCAAUGGGGCGAACCCCGACCGGGCAAAGGCGCGGGAGGGAAGAAGGUUCUCGGAUCGUAAAGCUCUUUUGUUAAGGAAGCGGUACUUAACCAGAAAGGGACGGCUAACUACGUGCCAGCCGCCGCGGUAAUAC
rnacentral:rRNA from 1 species